rnacentral:tRNA from 1 species
GCGCCUAUAGCUCAGUUGGUAGAGCAACAGCCUUUUAAGCUGAUGGUCCUGGGUUCGAGUCCCGGUGGGCGCA